AAGUGAAAACUGGGCAACUACUUCAAGGCGUUGUUAAAGGUGUUGAUAAAAUCUGCAAGGUUGUGUAUUUGAGUUCUGACCAAGAAACCGUAUCAAAAUCUGUGACCAAGGAUAACAAGGGAAUUUCAAUUGAUCUACUCGUUCCAGGCAUGAUUGUUAAUGCUCGUGUGCUAUCCACCCUUGAAAAUGGCGUUAUGUUAUCAUUUAUAACUUACUUUACAGGAACUGUUGAUUUAUUCCAUCUGCAAAAGAGCUGCCCUACCAUAAACUGGAAUGAGGAGUACAAUCAACACAAGAAGG